rnacentral:lncRNA from 1 species
AUCUAGAAGUUCAAUGUUGCUAGCAUGCAGUGGCUGCCCUGCAUUGACUGGCAUCAGUACAACUUUAUCUCCAACAACAACAUUGUCACCUUCGCUCCUUAGUUUCCAGAAUGGUUGUAUAUAAAACCAUGAUCCCUCAUUCCCUGCAGCAUCCAAAGACACUCGCAUAGCAUUCUUCUCUAGCAGAGCUGGUAAUCUCUUAUUAACUGUGAGGUACUUGUUACUUUUUAUGUGCAGUAGCUGUAUGACAUUGCUGUAUUUUACAAUUUCGCCCAACAGCUUUCUGUUCUCGCUUUCAUUCUGCUUUUGUUCCAGUUCUGCUGCGUGUUGAAGUUUCUUCAGCAGUGCUGCUUCUGUAUGGUUUCCUUGUUUGGCUUGUUUGGCUUUCCAGUACUGCUUCUGGGCUGAAUACCGGUUCAUAG